rnacentral:rRNA from 1 species
AUUGAACGCUGGCGGCAGGCCUAACACAUGCGAGUCGAGCGGAUGAAGGGAGCUUGCUCCUGGAUUCAGCGGCGGACGGGUGAGUAAUGCCUAGGAAUCUGCCUGGUAGUGGGGGAUAACGUCCGGAAACGGGCGCUAAUACCGCAUACGUCCUGAGGGAGAAAGUGGGGGAUCUUCGGACCUCACGCGAUCAGAUGAGCCUAGGUCGGAUUAGCUAGUUGGUGGGGUAAAGGCCUACCAAGGCGACGAUCCGUAACUGGUCUGAGAGGAUGAUCAGUCACACUGGAACUGAGACACGGUCCAGACUCCUACGGGAGGCAGCAGUGGGGAAUAUUGGACAAUGGGCGAAAGCCUGACCCAGCCAUGCCGCGUGUGUGAAGAAGGUCUUCGGAUUGUAAAGCACUUUAAGUUGGGAGGAAGGGCAGUAAGUUAAUACCUUGCUGUUUUGACGUUACCAACAGAAUAAGCACCGGCUAACUUCGUG